rnacentral:misc_RNA from 1 species
GAUGAAGAACGUAGCGAAAUGCGAUAAGUAGUGUGAAUUGCAGAAUUCCGUGAAUCAUCGAAUCUUUGAACGCACAUUGCGCCCGCCAGUAUUCUGGCGGGCAUGCCUGUUCGAGCGUCAUUUCAACCAUCAAGCCCCCGGCUUGUGUUGGGGACCUGCGGCUGCCGCAGGCCCUGAAAUGCAGUGGCGGGCUCGCUGUCACUCCGAGCGUAGUAGUUACAUCUCGCUCUGGGCGUGCUGCGGGUUCCGGCCGUUAAAAGCCUUAUUUACCCAAGGUUGACCUCGGAUCAGGUAGGAAGACCCGCUGAACUUAAGCAUAUCAAUAAGCGGAGGA